GAUGAACGCUGGCGGCGUGCCUAAUACAUGCAAGUCGAGCGAACGGACGAGAAGCUUGCUUUUCUGAUGUUAGCGGCGGACGGGUGAGUAACACUUGGAUAACCUACCUAUAAGACUGGGAUAACUUCGGGAAACCGGAGCUAAUACCGGAUAAUAUUUUGAACCGCAUGGUUCAAAAGUGAAAGACGGUCUUGCUGUCACUUAUAGAUGGAUCCGCGCUGCAUUAGCUAGUUGGUAAGGUAACGGCUUACCAAGGCAACGAUGCAUAGCCGACCUGAGAGGGUGAUCGGCCACACUGGAACUGAGACACGGUCCAGACUCCUACGGGAGGCAGCAGUAGGGAAUCUUCCGCAAUGGGCGAAAGCCUGACGGAGCAACGCCGCGUGAGUGAUGAAGGUCUUCGGAUCGUAAAACUCUGUUAUUAGGGAAGAACAUAUGUGUAAGUAACUGUGCACAUCUUGACGGUACCUAAUCAGAAAGCCACGGCUAACUACGUG
rnacentral:rRNA from 1 species